UCCCUGAAGCUCCCUACACUUUAUACAUGG
rnacentral:piRNA from 1 species